CAGCACCUCAAGUGGUCAGGAUGAUUAUUGGGCCUAAAGCAUCCGUAGCCUGCUUUGUUAGUUUUCGGUUAAAUCCAUACGCUCAACGUAUGGGCUGCCGGGAAUACUGCAGAGCUAGGGAGUGGGAGAGGUAGACGGCACUCGGUAGGAAGGGGUAAAAUCCUUUGAUCUAUUGAUGACCACCUGUGGCGAAGGCGGUCUACCAGAACACGUCCGACGGUGAGGGAUGAAAGCUGGGGGAGCAAACCGGAUUAGAUACCCGAGUAGUCC
rnacentral:rRNA from 1 species